GCUGGGAUAGCUCAGUUAGUAAAGUAUGAGACCCUUAAUCUCCAGGUUAUGGGUUUGAGCCCCAUGUCGGACA